rnacentral:rRNA from 1 species
UACGUAGGAUCCAAGCGUUGUCCGGAUUUACUGGGUGUAAAGGGUGCGCAGGCGGACUGGUUAGUCUGGGGUGAAAUCUCAUCGCUUAACGGUGAAACUGCCUUAGAUACUGCCAGUCUUGAAUCAGCGAGAGGUUCGUGGAAUUCCGAGUGUAGCAGUGGAAUGUGUAGAUAUUCGGAAGAACACCAGUGGCGAAGGCAGCGAACUGGCGCUCGAUUGACGCUCAGGCACGAAAGCAUGGGGAUCAAACAGG